rnacentral:tRNA from 1 species
AACUGGGUGGUGCAAUGCAUAGCACACCUGGCUGGGAGUCAGGAGGACCUGAGUUCAAACCCAGCCUCAGAUG